UUGGGUCCAACCUCCCACCCAUGUUUAUUUUACCUUGUUGCUUCGGCGGGCCCGCCUUAACUGGCCGCCGGGGGGCUUACGUCCCCGGGCCCGCGCCCGCCGAAGACACCCUCGAACUCUGUCUGAAGAUUGUAGUCUGAGUGAAAAUAUAAAUUAUUUAAAACUUUCAACAACGGAUCUCUUGGUUCCGGCAUCGAUGAAGAACGCAGCGAAAUGCGAUACGUAAUGUGAAUUGCAAAUUCAGUGAAUCAUCGAGUCUUUGAACGCACAUUGCGCCCCCUGGUAUUCCGGGGGGCAUGCCUGUCCGAGCGUCAUUGCUGCCCUCAAGCCCGGCUUGUGUGUUGGGCCCCGUCCUCCGAUUCCGGGGGACGGGCCCGAAAGGCAGCGGCGGCACCGCGUCCGGUCCUCGAGCGUAUGGGGCUUUGUCACCCGCUCUGUAGGCCCGGCCGGCGCUUGCCGAUCAACCCAAAUUUUUAUCCAGGUUGACCUCGGAUCAGGUAGGGAUACCCGCUGAACUUAAGCAUAUCAAUAAGCGGAGGAA
rnacentral:rRNA from 1 species